GCCAUCGUAGCUCAGAGGUAGAGCGCCAACCUUGUAAGUUGGAAGUCGAGAUUUCAAAAUUCUCCGAUGGCUCCA
rnacentral:tRNA from 1 species